GGGGGGCGCGGGGGCCUUGGGGGUCCCAGGCCGGGCCGAGAGCUUCGGGCGUGGUGGGCACUGGCUCCGGCCAUCAGGUCGGGGCGCCCGGACCCCGCGCCCGAGGUUCCCGUCGGGCCUGCGCGGGGAGGAGCUGCUGCGGGGCGGCGAUGGCGGAGGGCGGGGGCCGGGCCUGGUCGGGGCCCCCAGCAGGCCCCCGCAGCCGGGUGGGCGGCAGAGAGCCGGAGAGCUGGGGAGAGGGCAUGCAGCAUGUGGCCCCCGGGUUUGGAAGGCCCUGGGAGCCUGGAUCCCAGCCCCCCACCCCAUCCACGUCCGGCUGCACGGCUAAGGGGCCCGAGAGGAGCCAUCGCUCCUUCGACUCCACGUUUCCUUUCCAGGUGUCCGGUCUGGCCGGCCGCCCAGCCCGAUAAGCAUGCAGCUGCUGUGUUUGGUGGCCGUGGUCGGCUGUUUGCUGGUGCCCCCGGCUCAAGGCAACAAGAGUUCUGAAGAUAUCCGGUGCAAAUGCAUCUGUCCGCCGUACAGGAACAUCAGUGGACACAUUUACAACCAGAAUGUGUCGCAGAAGGACUGAGACUGAAGCCCGAAGAGAGAAUUUCAAAUACACUCCUGGAGUCUUGAAUUCCUUUCUGCCUGCCUCCCUUUAAAAGAGAGAGAAAUAAUCACCACUUCGUUCAGAGAAAGGAGACCAGCUUGUGAAGGGAAGUUCCUACACAUUGUCCUAGAAGGGAUGGUCCUAGAGGCGCUAGAGAGAGGCUGCAGAGAGGUCUCGGGCCACGUGGAGGCUCACAAGGACGGGAGAGGGGCUGGCCCCCUCUGGGAGGUGGGGGCGUGUGGAAUUGGGGGCUUGUGGGUCUCAGUUAUGUUCAGUGUGGUUUGGGUGUAGAAUGGAGGCCAAAGGAAGAAAGCUUCAGGAAACAGACUUUCGUGUGCAUGGCUGGAGCAUUUCUAAUCUGGGCUUAGGAGCUGGGAAGCCCCAUCCUUGGAGACACCUGAGCACAGAUGGGUGAUUCCUUGAUAAAGCCUCCGUGGAAGGGAUCAGCGUCACAAGGGUUAGUACAUUAGGAUUGGCAGGUGCGCAUUGAGAAAAUACAGAUUCCCCACUCCCUCCUGUCCUUGAGAUUUGGGUUUGUAAUUUUUCCCAGCUUUGUUGAGAUGCAUCGGACAUACGACAUUGUGUAAGUUUAACGUGGACGACGUGACGAUUGGAUACACGUAUAUAUUGCGAAACAGUUACCACAGUAAGGUUGGUUAACACCUCCGUCACCUCCCAUAAUUACCGUGUGUGUGUGGUGAGAACAUUAGGUUCCAUUCUCUUAGCCACUUUCAGUAUAUAAUAUAGUAUUCACUGUAGUCACCAUGUUGUUCGUUACGUACUUAAUUGAGUCAGUAAAUAUGGGGGGACAGUAACCUUUCCUUAAGGUCCCUCAGGUGAUUAUGAUGUAGAUUAUUGGUCCAGAACAGCAGUGGGGAGCUUUGACCCCAUCCAACCCUAAGAUAGUCUGAUUUCCCGAGGGGCAGCCUAGUUAGGGGCACACACUCUGGGGCUGGCCUGCCUGGCUUCACGUGUAGCUCAGCCACUUGUCGUUGCGUGACCAGUGACUUAACCUCCAGUGCACUUCAGUUUCCUCCUCUGUAAGACGGUGGCAGUAUCGUGAGAAUUAAAUAAUCACGUGUGCGUGCACGCACACACGUACGAGUUACUACAGUCCUGUGCUGCGUGAUGACACUCCAGUCAGCAAUGGACCGUGUAUACAAUGUUGGUGCCAUCAGAUGAGUGCCAUCUAGCCCGGGUGUGCAGUGGACGGCACCAUCUAGGUUUGUGUAAGUGCACUCUGUGACGUUCGCACAACAACGAGAUCGCCUAAUGACGCAUUUCUCGGACGUGACCCCAUCGUUAAGCGACGCAUGGCUGUUUAGCGCUUUGAACGAUCCCUGGCACGUAGUAAGUGCCAUGUAAACGUUAGCUGAUAUCGUGACUAAUAUACGUUAUCAAGCCUUACCAGAGGCCCCAUAGGUAAUCGUCAUCAGACGUACACCGUAGCCCCGCACAACCGGGGCUCCCCCCGGCGCUGGACUGUCUCCCUCUGUUCUCGCCUGUCCUGAUGGAUUCACGAGGCCCUGAGACGUGAAGACCUGGGAGGAGCCCCUGCCACCUCCUUGUGUCUGUGGUUCUGGGUCAGAUGGCAUCAGUAAAUGGAUUGAUGGAUGUCUCAGCACCAUCAGAUCAUAAGGCUGCAUCCCACAGGCCCUGGCAGACGGUAAGGCUGCAUCCCGCAGGCCCUGGCAGAUCUUGGUAGCAUGCACGGUCUCUGCCCUGAGGUUGCAGCCUGGCCUGAAACCCAGACUGGGAUGCCCAGACACAGGAGUCCUGCGGGGACCUCUCAGGCCAGCGUUUAUGUCCUUCCCUGUAUACAUCAGAAUUAGGGGGCUGCUGAUGAACAGUCUUAAAUCUAGACCCUCAAGGCAGUUCUGUUAAGGGUGGUGGCUGAAUCUGAGGCUGGACGUAAGAUCCAGGAUUUGUCCCAGAGGGAAGUCAUCCUGUUUGGCUGGCCCCUGUGUGGCUGGUUUUCUGCCAUCUAGCGUUGGGAGUGCUGAAGUACAUGCCACAAAGAGACAGAAGCCCCAACAACUUUGCCAGCUGGCACGUCCCCCAGGGAUGUACGGCAUAGAGACCAUCCCAGAGCAGGAAAGAACCCGCCAGGUUGGCUAGUUCAGGGUCUUUGUCCGUCUACAGAUACAGCCUUUCUUCCAACAAAACCUGUUCUGGAAGCACAAGGUGUGGAAGUCAGAAGUGCUCUGGCUGGGAGGGAGGGGUCCCUCAGCCCCGCCUUGCACCCUGCUCCCGCACCGUGGGUCCUGGGGUGCCCACCAGAGCACAGUUUGAAAGAUACUGCUGGAGUCAGCCUUCGUUCGUAAAUGAGGAAACCCAGGGAGGUUAAAUGAGUUGCCUACAAGCACAGAACGCGCAGAAGAGCAGAGACCUCAGCCCGGCUUGUUGUUCUCUGUGCCCUCUCCCCUGGUGUGCUCUGGCCAGCCUGUAGAGGCUUGAAGGCGCUGAUCCCCACGGUAAAUGGGGUCCUUCUGAGAGCAAGGACGUGUUUGGGGUCCCACUGACUCUCUGGAGAGCCGGACACGGCAGAAACGUCAGCUCCUCCUUUGCUGUUCCUUUACCCCUCACAGCCUAUCCCUGAGUGACAGGACCCAAUUUGAAGAGCUCAGGUUGGCCCCUCCCAGCUGCCUCUGACACCCCACUUUGGCCCCGUGGGGAAUCCACGCAUCCCACUGAAGCACCAGGAGCCCAUGUGGCUUGGGACGGGAGGAAUCUGGUCCUCAGAAGGAUUGUAGUGACUUCCUGGAGAUGGGAGGUCCCAGGAGUGGUGACCAGGUGCCGGGUGUGACCCUGGCCUUGUCUAUCCCUGCUCCCUGUGGCAGCUGCAUGUGGGAUCUGAGAGGGUGGGUUCAGUCACAGUAGGGGAAGGACCAUGCACGCAGCAGGGGGUACUGUGACGGAAGCUGCUGCCCGGAGGUGGGACUGGGUCACCAGAGGUUUAGAUAAAGUCCUAUAUGCUGCACACAUGUAUGCCAUAUGUGCCCCUGCUAGAAACCUGGGUUUCUAGGGGGGACAGAGGCUUUUAGAGGACGCCCCAUUUUUAUUUCAACACCUGGUCUUCACAUCGCACAUCCUCCAUGCUUCUGCCAGAAACCCAGCCUGAGUCUAGCAGGACCCCGGGACAGCGCGGAACAGGCCUGACUGCUCUCAGGGAGCUGUCUUCCACGCUGGCCGCAUCCCUGUCAGAGCUGGAAGGGACUUGAGGGUCGUGUGGUACGAGCCCUGCCCGUCACAGAGGGGAGGACAGGCCCAGGGCACCAGACGCUUCAUGGCAGGGCGGGGACAGCCCAGAGCUGGCUGUCCACUGCACCGUGACCCCCAGUUCGCCUCUGCGGACCUCUGGGGGUGUUUGGUUUUCCCAGGGGUGAUGAUACGGGUGCGUCUGCAGGGUCCCUGGCUUGCUCAGUGUGGUCUGUGAGCCAGCCAGGUUGGAAACGUGCUGCUCCGAGGCAGGCAGGGACGGAGCGGCCCAGGUUAGAGCCCAGACCAGCACGGGCCCCUGGGGCUGAGCAUCCUGCAGCGACUGUGAGGCCGGGCGUCCAGUUUGGGUCCUGGCCUCAGCAGCGUGACGGCAGUCGCUCGGGUACCGAGCCUUGCUCUGGCCAGCACUGUGCCAGGCGCUGGGGACGUGGAGCGGACCCCUAUCCUCAAGGGACAUGACAUCUCCCGGGGUGAGGGUCUGACUCCAGUGCAGAGCCAUCAGUGGUGGCGCGGAGACGAGCGUGAGGAGCUGCUCUUGUGGGGAGGGCUCCGGAGCUGAACCCCGAAGGCCGUGUGGGCUUCAGAGAGGGGAAGGAGGCGGUGAUGAAGCCGGGCAUUCCUGGCACAGGGUGUGAGUCGUGUCAGGGAGGGGAGCGUGGCUCGUUCAGAGAAAAGUCCAGGAGGUCAGCACAGCUGGAGGGUGGGCAGCGGGGUGAGGAGCUGGACAGGCGGGCAGCCCCGGUGUGAGGUGGAUGGGCGCCUGGGUGGAGCAGAGGCCCUGCGGUGGGGCAGCGACCGGGCUAAGCUGGGCAGUGGCAGGACCGGAGUUUCAUCUGGGGAGACCACCGGGCUGCUGGUGAAAGUGGUUUGGAACAGGGCCAAACCAAGGCGGGAGGGCAGUGGGCGGGGGGCCAUCUGAGGAAGACAUGAGGAGGGCUCCGCUAAGACGCAGCCGUGGGGGAGAGUAAGGAAGCAGGGUUUUAGAGAUGUUUGAGGAGGGGAGUCCCUGGGUGUGCGGGAUUGUGGGUGGGAGUACAGGCAGUGUCAGGGAUGGUUCCCAGGUUCAACUUGGGCCAUGGAGUGGGUGGGAGACGUGCUCUCUGCCAUUGGGAACACGACCAUGGAGCCAGUUGGGGAAUUGGGGAGUCAGGGGCAGAGGCUGUGGGGUUUGUGGUCCCGACGGGGCACUCACAGGCAGCGGGGCAUGAGAAUGGAGGAGAGAGACCCAGCUGAUAAGUCUCAUCUGAGACCCACCAGCCUCCAAGUAGAAAUCUCUGGAAGGGACAGGCCCACUCAGGCAGCACACAGCAUGAGAUAGAAGGGCAGGCGGGGCCAGAACUUUGGGGAGUGGCAACUCCCUAAAGUUGGGGUGUACUGUGGGGAGCUGGUGCUCAUGGGCAAGGGCAGGGCUGUCACCCUCGCUAGAGCCCUGCCCUCCCCAGGAGCCUGGUCCCCUCUGCCCAGCAGCCCUGCUGCUCCUCCCACGGCCCCCCUCAGCCCUGCUCCUCCUCCCACGGCCCCCCUCGGCCCUGCUCCUCCUCCCACGGCCCCCCUCGGCCCUGCUCCUCCUCCCACGGCCCCCCUCAGCCCUGCUCCUCCUCCCACGGCCCCCCUCGGCCCUGCUCCUCCUCCCACGGCCCCCCUCAGCCCUGCUCCUCCUCCCACACCGCCCCCUCCCCCCCCCGCCCUGCUCCUCCUCCCACGGCCCCCCUCAGCGCCUGUCUCUGCCGCAGCAACUGCCUGCACGUGGUUGACCCCAUGCCUGUGCCCGGCCAUGACGUGGAGGCCUACUGCUUGCUGUGCGAGUGCAGGUACGAGGAGCGCAGCACCACCACCAUCAAGGUAACGUACCACCAGUCCCACCCCCCUCCCCACCCCUGCCCUAUGCCACCGGCUCUUCUCUGUUCUGGAACAUUCUGGGUGGCUCUGGGACUGGCUUCUAAGCUGGCCUGGUUGUAGACGGAGGAACUAUGUCCCACCCCGUCGUGGUGGCCGCUCUCCCUGCAACCUCCAGCCAGCGGUCCCCGCACAGCUGCAGCUGAGAGCAUGGAGCUGGGAGCCUGGAGAGACGUGAACCAAGCCGGUGUCUGGGGCUAGGACCUGGGCAGAGGGCUCAGGCUGCUUCCUUUGGCUCCUCCCUGCACCAUGUUCUCAUAGGUCAUUGGCUGGAUUCAGGAGGGAGGUGGUGGACACAGCCACCACCACAGGAAGUGAGGCCAGCCAGGACCCAGGCCCUUCUCUGCCUCCAGGCAGGACUUGCCCAGAUCAUGGCUCUCUCUGGCAGAACCUCGUCUCCCAGACCCCCUCCGGGUCUCCAGUCCAGGUUCUCCAUGGGGAGCCCGACCACGCUCUCCGAUUUCGAGCAUAAGGCCUUCCUGCUCCAGCUUUUAGGCUCAUUUCCGUUUGUCCUGUCAAGAGUCUAGUAGUAGCAUCGGGAAAGAGCUCUGAGGACCUUCACGACACCACUGAGUCCUCUGUCAGGUCCCCUUUGGGGGUGCAUCAGAGGGGAGGGGGUCCUCACCACGAUCCUCCCUGCCCAGCCCAGGGAGCCGGCAGCUCCUGGCCUGCCCGGGGGUCCUCAGUGUCCUCGCCUUUCAGAUGGAGGGCAGCUGCCUGUUCCCGACCCCUGUCACUGCCCUGUCACGCUGUACAGACUCAAUGCCUUUCAUCCUCCGCCAAGUCCGUCCCUCCUGGACCCGGCCUUCCUCCUCUGAACCUGCUCCGGGGGCCCCACCCUCUGAGCCCUCAAAUUCUGAGCUGGAUGUCACCUCUCCCUCUUCAGUGGGGAAGGGACUUCCCGACAUGGCGACCUCCUCCUAGUCCCCCCGAUUUCCUUCCAGCCAUUCUCCCAGGAGACUCCCCACUUUCGGCCUCUCCGAGAGUCAGCCUCCAUUCCCCCUCCCCCUUCCUGGGGCGCGGGCAACAGGUCUGAUUAUUGACCCCAUUUAAGGAGGCGUGAACGCUGAUGCCCCCGCUGCGGAGGAGGUCGGUCCAGGUGAGCGUGGCUGUAGACUGAGCCCCACACCUGGAAGCCCGAGCUUGCUUUUAUCCCCUCUUCACAGUCAGGGGCCAGGGCUGGGGUCAGAAGCCAGGGAUGGCCCGGCGUUUGGAAGUAGAGAAAGCCUUUUGGAUGGAGUCAGUGAACCUGGGUCCAGGUUACGUCUCUGCCGUGUACUAAUCUUGGGACCUGUUGGUUCUCAAUCAGGGGGUUCCUGGACCCCAAGGGACACUCAGAGAUGAGUGGAGAGGCUUCUGUGGCCCCAAUAACUGAGGUGUGUUGCUGACACCAUUGCGGGGACCGUGGAUGCUCAGUGUCUUGAGGGUCCAGUCUUCAAUGCCCAGAGCUCCCACGUGGAGGAACGUUGCGUUAGCCUCGCUGCGUCUGUCCGACUGCAGCGUGUGAGGCUCUCCGUGUAUGUGAGAAAUUCGUGAAGUUGUCCCUCUGCCCCUGGCUGUCUCCUCCCUGCAGGGUUACCCAUGGGGGCUGGACCUGGCCUCCAGCCAUCAUUGCACACCUUGCCAGGCUGUCCUGCUGGCGGGCGCUGGGUGCAGAAACGUCCCCCCAUCACUCCCGCGCCCAGCAGUGGGAUGCGCCCACGUGCCCAGGUUCCUUCUCCUCGGCCUCUGCGCCCGCCACCUGCUUGCUCUUCUUAGUGCCCCAUCGCUUUCCACCCUUUGUCAUAGGCUCUUCCGUAGCCAGGGGGCCCCGUUUCCCUGCUCCCCAGCCCGGGGAGCAUCUUGGGGAGUCAGGAUCCAGACUCCUUCCUUUGUCGUCUGUCUUCUAUGCCUGCUGGGGAACUCAGUGUUCCUGUGGGACCCCCUCAGUUUGGGGCAGAGUUAGUAAACGCGUGGAGCAGGCCGUGCUGUCCCUUCCUGGCCCCCGUCCCUCCAGGCCCACACGGUCUCAGCCCUUCCCCAGUGCAUGGUGCGGUCACCGCCGUGGGACGCAGAUGCCCAGGGUGCUGCUCACGGGUCGGUCUCCUCCUCAGGUCAUCAUUGUCAUCUACCUGUCGGUGGUGGGGGCCCUCCUGCUCUACAUGACUUUCCUGAUGCUGGUGGACCCUCUGAUCCGAAAGCCGGAUGCGUACACAGAACAGCUGCACAAUGAGGAGGAGAACGAGGAUGCUCGCUCUAUGGCGGCUGCCGCGGCCUCCUUCGGGGGACCCCGCGCCAACACGGUCCUGGAACGUGUGGAAGGCGCUCAGCAGCGGUGGAAGCUGCAGGUGCAGGAGCAACGGAAGACGGUCUUCGAUCGGCACAAGAUGCUCAGCUAGAGGGCCCGGCACAGUCGGGCCAAGGACCAGCGGCCACGGCUGGAUAGAGCCAGGGGCCACUCUCCCCUCCUUCGACGCCACCCUUCCUGGGUCUUCCCUUUAAAAGCCUGUGGCGUUUUUUCCUCCUUCUGCCCCUCUUUAGAAACGUUGUUCUCAGCUGAGUUAAUUCCGGAAGCGUGAUGGGGUCCCCGAUCUCUCGUUCGCCUGCUCAGGUCUUGGGGGUUUGUGGGGGGAAGGCAGGCCAAGAGGGGAUGGAGGCGUCCGUCUCAGGCGGCCUCAGGGUUGGAAGGAGCCUCUCUCUCAUUGCUCCACCCUUGCCACCUCUCCGGCUCCAAAUCCCGGGAAGGUUCCAGCCUCUGGAAGGUGGAGCUGGGUCGUCAGGACCUCGGUGUGUGGGAGGAAAGCCUGGCCCCUGCCACCUGUGCUGCUUUCUGCUGUGGUUGUGGUGGCUGCCUUCCUCGCCACCCCGAGACGUCAGCCCCCGAGCACCCAUCCCCUCUUCCUCCUCCCUCCUCUCCUCCCCUGACGCAUGGUGGUGGCCGUGCACCCUGCCUCCUCUCGGCCCGGCCCUCCCGCCCACUCAGGAGGCCAGGCAGGCCCCUUGCCUCCCUGUGUGUGUUGUCACUGAGCCAGACGGGUGGUGGGACCACGCGGCACAAGGCCGGGCGGUGGCUCUGAAUGCCACAGCCUUGGGGCACCACGCAUCCCUGAAUUUCCUUGUAGCGUGCAUGGGCAGACAUGUUUGUCUACCGUUGUCUGUAAGUCAAGGAAGCCAUCAUUAAAUUGUCUUAUUUCUCACUUUCUG
ensembl:lncRNA